AGGUUACUGCUAUCGGUGUUCGCCUAGGCCAUGCGAGUCAUAUGUUCGUAAGAACAUGGCGUACUGCUCAGUAACACGUGGAUAACCUGCCCUUGGGUCCGGCAUAACCCCGGGAAACUGGGGAUAAUUCCGGAUAACGCACAUAUGCUGGAAUGCUUUAUGCGUAAAAUGGAUUCGUCUGCCCAAGGAUGGGUCUGCGGCCUAUCAGGUAGUAGUGGGUGUAAUGUACCUACUAGCCUACGACGGGUACGGGUUGUGAGAGCAAGAGCCCGGAGAUGGAUUCUGAGACAUGAAUCCAGGCCCUACGGGGCGCAGCAGGCGCGAAAACUUUACAAUGCGGGAAACCGUGAUAAGGGGACACCGAGUGCCAGCAUCCUAUGCUGGCUGUCCGGGUGUGUAAAAUACACCUGUUAGCAAGGGCCGGGCAAGACCGGUGCCAGCCGCCGCGGUAACACCGGCGGCCCGAGUGGUGAUCGUGAUUAUUGGGUCUAAAGGGUCCGUAGCCGGUUUGGUCAGUCCUCCGGGAAAUCUGACAGCUUAACUGUUAGGCUUUCGGAGGAUACUGCCAGACUUGGAACCGGGAGAGGUAAGAGGUACUACGGGGGUAGGAGUGAAAUCUUGUAAUCCCUGUGGGACCACCUGUGGCGAAGGCGUCUUACCAGAACGGGUUCGACGGUGAGGGACGAAAGCUGGGGGCACGAACCGGAUUAGAUACCCGGGUAGUCCCAGCCGUAAACGAUGCUCGCUAGGUGUCAGGCAUGGCGCGACCGUGUCUGGUGCCGCAGGGAAGCCGUGAAGCGAGCCACCUGGGAAGUACGGCCGCAAGGCUGAAACUUAA
rnacentral:rRNA from 1 species